rnacentral:rRNA from 1 species
GACGUAGGGCGCGAGCGUUGUCCGGAUUUAUUGGGCGUAAAGAGCUCGUAGGCGGCUUGUCGCGUCGUCCGUGAAAACCCACGGCUUAACUGUGGGCUUGCGGUCGAUACGGGCAGGCUGGAGUUCGGUAGGGGAGACUGGAAUUCCUGGUGUAGCGGUGAAAUGCGCAGAUAUCAGGAAGAACACCCGUGGCUAAGGCGGCUCUCUAGUACGGUACUGACGCUGAGACGCGAAAGCGUGGGGAGCGAACAGG